CGGCCUUCUGGACAGUACUGACGCUGAGAUGCGAAAGCGUGGGGAGCAAACAGGAUUAGAUACCUGGUAGUCACGCUGUAAACGAUGUCGAUUUGGAGUUUGUUGCCUAGAGUGAUGGGCUCCGAAGCUAACGCGAUAAAUCGACCGCUGGGGAGUACGGCCGCAAGGUUAAAACUCAAAUGAAUUGACGGGGGCCCGCACAAGCGGUGGAGCAUGUGGUUUAAUUCGAUGCAACGCGAAGAACCUUACCUGGUCUUGACAUCCAUAGAAUUCUGCAGAGAUGUGGGAGUGCCUUCGGGAACUAUGAGACAGGUGCUGCAUGGCUGUCGUCAGCUCGUGUUGUGAAAUGUUGGGUUAAGUCCCGCAACGAGCGCAACCCUUAUUCUUUGUUGCCAGCGAUUUGGUCGGGAACUCAAAGGAGACUGCCGUUGAUAAAGCGGAGGAAGGUGGGGACGACGUCAAGUCAUCAUGGCCCUUACGACCAGGGCUACACACGUGCUACAAUGGCGUAUACAAAGGGAAGCGAAGGUGCGAGCUGGAGCGGAUCUCAUAAAGUACGUCUAAGUUCGGAUUGGAGUCUGCAACUCGACUCCAUGAAGUCGGAAUCGCUAGUAAUCGUAGAUCAGAAUGCUACGGUGAAUACGUUCCCGGGCCUUGUACACACCGCCCGUCACACCAUGGGAGUGGGUUGCACCAGAAGUAGAUAGCUUAACCGCGAGGGGGGCGUUUACCACGGUGUGAUUCAUGACUGGGGUGAAGUCGUAACAAGGUAACCA
rnacentral:rRNA from 1 species